rnacentral:tRNA from 1 species
UGACGCGUUGCGACGCGGUUCCAUCGGGAUCGCUGUAGCCGAUCCGCAGCUUGUGCUCGGCACGGAUCGCGGCGC